rnacentral:tRNA from 1 species
AGCUUAAAUUAAAAGAGCAUAACGUUGAAGGUGUUAAGGUGAUAAAAUAUCUUUAAGAUA